GUAAGCAUAUCAAUAAGCGGAGGAAAAGAAACCAACAGGGAUUGCCCUAGUAACGGCGAGUGAAGCGGCAACAGCUCAAAUUUGAAAUCUGGCUCUCUUUGGGGGUCCGAGUUGUAAUUUGCAGAGGAUGCUUUGGCAUUGGCGGCGGUCUAAGUUCCUUGGAACAGGACAUCACAGAGGGUGAGAAUCCCGUACGUGGUCGCCUGCCUUUGCCGUGUAAAGCUCCUUCGACGAGUCGAGUUGUUUGGGAAUGCAGCUCUAAAUGGGAGGUAAAUUUCUUCUAAAGCUAAAUACUGGCCAGAGACCGAUAGCGCACAAGUAGAGUGAUCGAAAGAUGAAAAGUACUUUGGAAAGAGAGUCAAAAAGCACGUGAAAUUGUUGAAAGGGAAGCGCUUGCAGCCAGACUUGCCCGCAGUUGCUCACCUAGGCUUUGGCCUGGGGCACUCUUCUGCGGGCAGGCCAGCAUCAGUUUGGGCGGUUGGAUAAAGGCCUCUGUCACGUAUCUCCCUUCGGGGUGACCUUAUAGGGGAGGCGCAAUGCAACCAGCCCGGACUGAGGUCCGCGCAUCUGCUAGGAUGCUGGCGUAAUGGCUGUAAGCGGCCCGUCUUGAAACACGGACCAAGGAGUCUAACAUCUAUGCGAGUGUUUGGGUGUCAAGCCCGAGCGCGCAAUGAAAGUGAACGGAGGUGGGAACCCUUUGGGUGCACCAUCGACCGAUCCUGAUGUCUUCGGAUGGAUUUGAGUAAGAGCAUAGCUGUUGGGACCCGAAAGAUGGUGAACUAUGCUUGAAUAGGGUGAAGCCAGAGGAAACUCUGGUGGAGGCUCGCAGCGGUUCUGACGUGCAAAUCGAUCGUCAAAUUUGGGCAUAGGGGCGAAAGACUAAUCGAACCAUCUAGUAGCUGGUUCCUGCCGAAUU
rnacentral:rRNA from 1 species